rnacentral:rRNA from 1 species
UACGUAGGGGGCUAGCGUUGUCCGGAAUCAUUGGGCGUAAAGAGCGUGUAGGCGGCCCGGUAAGUCCGCUGUAAAAGUCAAAGGCUCAACCUUUGAAUGUCAGUGGAUACUGCCGGGCUAGAGUCCGGAAGAGGCGAGUGGAACUCCUGGUGUAGCGGUGGAAUGCGCAGAUAUCAGGAAGAACACCAACGGCGAAGGCAGCUCGCUGGGACGGUACUGACGCGGAGACGCGAAAGCGUGGGAGCGAACAGG